rnacentral:snoRNA from 1 species
GAUCAUUUCUAUAGUUUCUGACUUGGAAGUUUGAUUUGAAAGUGUAACGUCUCUCUAACCACGAUGACGAGUUAAGAUGCUUUCUUCUGAGCGUGAAUCGGGUGGUGAGCGACGAGCGAGAUUGUCUGCUCUCUGUCAUUGAUGAACGUUCCUGCUGUGCUUUGCAGUCUGGAAGAAGAAAGCAUGUUCAGAGUGGU